GUCUACAGCCAUACUAUCCUGAACACGCCCGAUCCUGUCUGAUCUCAGAAGCUAAACAGGGUCGGGCCUGGUUAGUACUUGGAUGAGAGAUCACCUAGGAAGACCAGGUGCUGUAGGCA
rnacentral:rRNA from 1 species